UUCCAACGAACUUAAAAACUCGUCAAGCAAAUCUAUUUUAUUAUGUCGCAAUGAAAUCCAACUGCCUAACAUUGUUUUUUUAUUAUUUUUUUUUUCAAAUGUAUAGCUUUUACCCAGCACUACAAAUUUAACCGGCCGUUAUCGUUGUACAAUCAUCUAGUAAUCGAAUUAACUUAGAAAUAAUUUAUUUUAAAUUCCAUCAAAUUUAAAAAUUCGUCUAACUCGCCCGAUUUUUUUUGUUUUAACCUUAUUUAAUUACGUACCUAACUUUUUAUUUUUAAAUAGUUUAAAAGCUGUGUUUUGGCAAGCACUACGGUUUUUUU